GGGACACGUGGUAUCCUGUCUGAAUAUGGGGGGACCAUCCUCCAAGGCUAAAUACUCCUGACUGACCGAUAGUGAACCAGUACCGUGAGGGAAAGGCGAAAAGAACCCCGGCGAGGGGAGUGAAAAAGAACCUGAAACCGUGUACGUACAAGCAGUGGGAGCACCUUCGGGUGUGACUGCGUACCUUUUGUAUAAUGGGUCAGCGACUUAUAUUCUGUAGCAAGGUUAACCGUAUAGGGGAGCCGCAGGGAAACCGAGUCUUAACUGGGCGUUAAGUUGCAGGGUAUAGACCCGAAACCCGGUGAUCUAGCCAUGGGCAGGUUGAAGGUUGGGUAACACUAACUGGAGGACCGAACCGACUAAUGUUGAAAAAUUAGCGGAUGACUUGUGGCUGGGGGUGAAAGGCCAAUCAAACCGGGAGAUAGCUGGUUCUCCCCGAAAGCUAUUUAGGUAGCGCCUCGUGAAUUCAUCUUCGGGGGUAGAGCACUGUUUCGGCUAGGGGGUCAUCCCGACUUACCAACCCGAUGCAAACUACGAAUACCGAAGAAUGUUAUCACGGGAGACACACGGCGGGUGCUAACGUCCGUCGUGAAGAGGGAAACAACCCAGACCGCCAGCUAAGGUCCCAAAGUCAUGGUUAAGUGGGAAACGAUGUGGGAAGGCACAGACAGCCAGGAUGUUGGCUUAGAAGCAGCCAUCAUUUAAAGAAAGCGUAAUAGCUCACUGGUCGAGUCGGCCUGCGCGGAAGAUGUAACGGGGCUAAACCAUGCACCGAAGCUGCGGCAGCGACACUAUGUGUUGUUGGGUAGGGGAGCGUUCUGUAAGCCUGCGAAGGUGACCUGUGAGGGUU
rnacentral:rRNA from 1 species